UGNNGGGCCNGGGGAACAUNUUCCAAAACGCUUGGCUUUUGACGAUGACGAGCGGCGGACGGGUGAGUAAUGCCUGGGAAUUUGCCCAUUUGUGGGGGAUAACAGUUGGAAACGACUGCUAAUACCGCAUACGCCCUACGGGGGAAAGCAGGGGAACUUCGGKCCUUGCGCUGAUGGAUAAGCCCAGGUGGGAUUAGCUAGUAGGUGAGGUAAUGGCUCACCUAGGCAACGAUCCCUAGCUGGUCUGAGAGGAUGAUCAGCCACACUGGGACUGAGACACGGCCCAGACUCCUACGGGAGGCAGCAGUGGGGAAUAUUGCACAAUGGGGGAAACCCUGAUGCAGCCAUGCCGCGUGUGUGAAGAAGGCCUUCGGGUUGUAAAGCACUUUCAGCGAGGAGGAAAGGGUGUAAGUUAAUACCUUACAUCUGUGACGUUACUCGCAGAAGAAGCACCGGCUAACUCCGUGCCAGCAGCCGCGGUAAUACGGAGGGUGCGAGCGUUAAUCGGAAUUACUGGGCGUAAAGCGUGCGCAGGCGGUUUGUUAAGCGAGAUGUGAAAGCCCCGGGCUCAACCUGGGAACCGCAUUUCGAACUGGCAAACUAGAGUCUUGUAGAGGGGGGUAGAAUUCCAGGUGUAGCGGUGAAAUGCGUAGAGAUCUGGAGGAAUACCGGUGGCGAAGGCGGCCCCCUGGACAAAGACUGACGCUCAGGCACGAAAGCGUGGGGAGCAAACAGGAUUAGAUACCCUGGUAGUCCACGCCGUAACGAUGUCUACUCGGAGUUUGGUGUCUUGAACACUGGGCUCUCAGCUAACGCAUUAAGUAGACCGCCUGGGGAGUACGGCCGCAGGGUUAAACUCAAAUGAAUUGACGGGGCCCGCACAAGCGGUGGAGCAUGUGGUUUAAUUCGAUGCAACGCGAGAACCUUACCUACUCUUGACAUCCAGAGAACUUUCCAGAGAUGGAUUGGUGCCUUCGGGAACUCUGAGACAGGUGCUGCA
rnacentral:rRNA from 1 species